CUUUUCAUUCAAAAUAGAUAUUCUCUCUCUUUUGAUCAGAAAGCUGAUUCGAUUUGAUCGGAGAUUCUCUGUUCAAGUUUCUCUCUCCGCCGCCAGCUUCCAAUUGAUCUUGGUCUCUCUACGACGAUCUGAAAUCUCAGUUUUGGAUCUUCAAUCCAAAGCUUUGUUCUCUUUUUCUCGAUCUCUGGCACCAUCGCUCUUCGCCUUGAUCACGUCACUUUUUCUUCUUCUUCGUCUUCCGCCGUGAUCAAGCCGAAACACGUCGCCCUUAGUGAGAAUGGAAGGAUUGAAAUUGCAGGGAUCAGAUUAUGAACAAGGCGAGGUCCUACUGGUUCAGCCAGAAGGCCACCAAGGAGAUCUCCUCCGUCGACGAUGACAUCAAGGAAUUUAUGAUGAUAUGAACUUGGGAUUUUACCUUGUUGCAUAUGAUGACAUUGGGGGCAUUUCCUACCAAAAGGCUUGCGACUUGUCUAGUCACAUUUGCAGUUUCACUCGGGUUAUCAGUAAGCACCCAAUCUUUUGGUCUACACGCCCUAAUUUUUCCGAGUCUCUGUUUGUCCCAAAGGAAGAAAGUUUAUAUAAUAGUCGCAUACAUAUUCGACAAAAUGUCGUGGCAGAUCACAUUCACCAGCUCACAAGAAUUGAAGUGGUCUCUCGGAUUCUUUGAAGUUAUCGGUUACUUAAUACUUUUACACCUAAUAGGCUUUUUAAUUGGCCUUCCAUGACGCAGUAAUUUCCUUUGUUGAAGUUAAGACAUUAUAUAAUAGGUUUACUGUAAUCAUAUAGCCUGAAUUUUGUCUCCAGCAAUUUAGUUAAUGAGUUUCAGAAACUAUGUCAUGUAUUUUCUUUGCAAAUGUAAUGUAUUUCCAUCUAAUUGUUUUUCAAAUAAAGUGGUUAUAUCUAUUUUAAGACAA